rnacentral:rRNA from 1 species
UACAGGGGGUGCAAGCGUUAAUCGGAAUUACUGGGCGUAAAGCGUGCGUAGGUGGUUUUUUAAGUCAGGUGUGAAAUCCCUGGGCUCAACCUGGGAACUGCAUUUGAUACUGGAAAGCUAGAGUGUGGUAGAGGAUGGUGGAAUUCCCGGUGUAGCGGUGAAAUGCGUAGAUAUCGGGAGGAACAUCAGUGGCGAAGGCGGCCAUCUGGACCAACACUGACACUGAGGCACAAAAGCGUGGGGAGCAAACAGG